UUGAACGCUGGCGGAAUGCUUUACACAUGCAAGUCGAGCGGCAGCGCGGGGCAACCUGGCGGCGAGCGGCGAACGGGUGAGUAACACAUCGGAACGUACCCAAUCGUGGGGGAUAACACAUCGAAAGAUGUGCUAAUACCGCAUAAGUCCUGAGGGAGAAAGCGGGGGAUCAGCAAUGACCUCGCGCGGAUGGAGCGGCCGAUGUCGGAUUAGCUAGUUGGUGGGGUAAAGGCCUACCAAGGCGACGAUCCGUAGCGGGUCUGAGAGGACGGCCCGCCACACUGGAACUGAGACACGGUCCAGACUCCUACGGGAGGCAGCAGUGGGGAAUUUUGGACAAUGGGCGCAAGCCUGAUCCAGCCAUUCCGCGUGAGUGAAGAAGGCCUUCGGGUUGUAAAGCUCUUUCGGCAGGGAAGAAACGGUUUGGGCUAAUACCCUGAGCUAAUGACGGUACCUGAAGAAGAAGCACCGGCUAACUACGU
rnacentral:rRNA from 1 species